rnacentral:rRNA from 1 species
CCAUUGGAAACGAUGGCUAAUACCGCAUAGAAGCUACGGCUUAAAGAGGGGGACCUUCGGGCCUCUCGCGUCAGGAUAUGCCCAGGUGGGAUUAGCUAGUUGGUGGGGUAAAGGCUCACCAAGGCAACGAUCUCUAGCUGGUCUGAGAGGAUGAUCAGCCACACUGGAACUGAGACACGGUCCAGACUCCUACGGGAGGCAGCAGUGGGGAAUAUUGCACAAUGGGCGCAAGCCUGAUGCAGCCAUGCCGCGUGUAUGAAGAAGGCCUUCGGGUUGUAAAGUACUUUCAGUGGUGAGGAAGGUUAUGUAUUUAAUAGAUGCGUAGCUUGACGUUAGCCACAGAAGAAGCACCGGCUAACUCCGUGCCAGCAGCCGCGGUAAUACGGAGGGUGCGAGCGUUAAUCGGAAUUACUGGGCGUAAAGCGCAUGCAGGUGGUCUGUUAAGUCAGAUGUGAAAGCCCGGGGCUUAACCUCGGAAUAGCAUUUGAAACUGUCAGACUAGAGUACUGUAGAGGGGGGUAGAAUUUCAGGUGUAGCGGUGAAAUGCGUAGAGAUCUGAAGGAAUACCGGUGGCGAAGGCGGCCCCCUGGACAGAUACUGACACUCAGAUGCGAAAGCGUGGGAGCAAACAGGAUUAGAUACCCUGGUAGUCCACGCCGUAAACGAUGUCUACUUGGAGGUUGUGGCCUUGAGCCGUGGCUUUCGGAGCUAACGCGUUAAGUAGACCGCCUGGGGAGUACGGUCGCAAGAUUAAAACUCAAAUGAAUUGACGGGGGCCCGCACAAGCGGUGGAGCAUGUGGUUUAAUUCGAUGCAACGCGAAGAACCUUACCUACUCUUGACAUCUACAGAAGCUUGCGGAGACGCGAGUGUGCCUUCGGGAACUGUAAGACAGGUGCUGCAUGGCUGUCGUCAGCUCGUGUUGUGAAAUGUUGGGUUAAGUCCCGCAACGAGCGCAACCCUUAUCCUUGUUUGCCAGCACGUAAUGGUGGGAACUCCAGGGAGACUGCCGGUGAUAAACCGGAGGAAGGUGGGGACGACGUCAAGUCAUCAUGGCCCUUACGAGUAGGGCUACACACGUGCUACAAUGGCACAUACAGAGGGCAGCCAACUUGCAAAAGUGAGCGAAUCCCAAAAAGUGUGUCGUAGUCCGGAUCGGAGUCUGCAACUCGACUCCGUGAAGUCGGAAUCGCUAGUAAUCGUGGAUCAGAAUGCCACGGUGAAUACUUUCCCGGGCCUUGUACACACCGCCCGUCACACCAUGGGAGUGGGCUGCAAAAGAAGUAGGUAGUUUAACCUUCGGGGGGACGCUUACCACUUUGUGGUUCAUGACUGGGGUGAAGUCGUAACAAGGUA